rnacentral:rRNA from 1 species
GGACAACAGUUGGAAACGACUGCUAAUACCGCAUAAGCCCACGGGUCGGCAUCGACCAGAGGGAAAAGGAGCAAUCCGCUUUGAGAUGGCCUCGCGUCCGAUUAGCUAGUUGGUGAGGUAAUGGCCCACCAAGGCGACGAUCGGUAGCCGGACUGAGAGGUUGAACGGCCACAUUGGGACUGAGACACGGCCCAGACUCCUACGGGAGGCAGCAGUGGGGAAUAUUGCACAAUGGGGGAAACCCUGAUGCAGCGACGCCGCGUGGAGGAAGAAGGUCUUCGGAUUGUAAACUCCUGUUGUUGGGGAAGAUAAUGACGGUACCCAACAAGGAAGUGACGGCUAACUACGUGCCAGCAGCCGCGGUAAAACGUAGGUCACAAGCGUUGUCCGGAAUUACUGGGUGUAAAGGGAGCGCAGGCGGGAAGACAAGUUGGAAGUGAAAUCUAUGGGCUCAACCCAUAAACUGCUUUCAAAACUGUUUUUCUUGAGUAGUGCAGAGGUAGGCGGAAUUCCCGGUGUAGCGGUGGAAUGCGUAGAUAUCGGGAGGAACACCAGUGGCGAAGGCGGCCUACUGGGCACCAACUGACGCUGAGGCUCGAAAGUGUGGGUAGCAAACAGGAUUAGAUACCCUGGUAGUCCACACCGUAAACGAUGAUUACUAGGUGUUGGAGGAUUGACCCCUUCAGUGCCGCAG